UGUGUGAUAGAUGGGAAUCUCCUGCAUGGAAGGAAAAAUCUGCCAGAAAUAAGAUGRCACAUAGUAAAUUGAGGUUCAAUCAUCGAGGUGGACCAAAACCAUUUCAGUGUCAUCGAGAAGAUUCGGAAGAAAUGAUUUCCUUAAAGGCGUAUCGUGCUUCUCAAGGAGACGAAAAAACAAAAGAAGAAAUCAUGGAGACGGUCC